rnacentral:sRNA from 1 species
AGAGAUCAUCACCAUCGGCUUUUACUUGAAUAUCUCUACUUGGAUCAUCAUCGGAAUUCACAGAGAGAUAAAGACAAAAUUGUCUUGAGAAGAGAAUUAGGGUUUUAGAAUAAGAAGAAGCGAGAAAUAGAGAGUUUUGAUUUGUCGAAUUCUUUAGAAGAAGCGUUGAGACUCUCAGUGAGAGAGUAAUUAUUUAUUUAUAAGCGAAGAAAAGGAAACUGAUAAUCACAAUUAACGGUCACAAAAUCUUCUUUUAACGGUCACAAAAAAGAUUUCUUUUGAUAGCUUCUGUUUCCUUUUUUUUGUUUCUCUGACUGUGAGAGAAUUAAUGUGAUGAGUUUUAAUACAUAGACUAUAGCAAUGGUAUAUAAAUCAAGUUUUAUAGAAUCUGUUUCUUGUUGGUAUGUAUCGAGAGAGAAGCGGCCUGGAUAUGAUCA